UACAUGGGGUGCAAACGUUGCUCGGAAUUAUUGGGCGUAAAGCGCACGUAGGCGGUUUGUUAAGUCGGAUGUGAAACCCCUCGGCUCAACUGAGGAAGUGCAUCCGAAACUGGCAAGCUUGAGUACGAAAGAGGAUCGCGGAAUUCCCGGUGUAGAGGUGAAAUUCGUAGAUAUCGGGAGGAACACCGGUGGCGAAGGCGGCGAUCUGGGUCGAUACUGACGCUGAGGUGCGAAAGCGUGGGGAGCGAACAGG
rnacentral:rRNA from 1 species